UGAGCCACUGUACCCAGCCUGUAUCUUUGAAUUGAAACUCUGUCUCCUGUAGCAAAAGAGGCUUUAAAAUAGACAAAAAGUUACUAGAUAUAUAAGGUCCCUCUUUAUCUCUAGUACAUUUUUUAAUGUAUCAGGAAAAUAUAAUAAUUAUAAACAUGUAUGUACCUAACAAUAGAACUUCAAAAUACAUGAAGCAAAAAUGGAUGGAAUUGAAAGGACAAUUCAACAGUAGUAGUUGGAGCUAUAAAUAACCCACUUCCAAUAAUGGAUAGAACCACUGGGCAGAAGAUCAGUAGGUAAUAAAAGACUGAACAGCACUAUAACCAUCUAGAGCUAACAGACAUCUUUAUUUAUUUUUAUUUAUUUAGUUUUGAGACAGGGUCUUGCUCUGUCACGGAGGCUGGAGUGCAGUUGUGUGAUCUCGGCUCACUGCAACCUCCGCCUCCCAGGCUCAAGCAAUUUUUCUGCCUCAGCCUCCCAAGCUGGGACUACAGGCACGUGCCACCACGCCCAGCUAAUUUUUGUAGUUUUGGUAGAGAUGGGGUUUCACCAUGUUGCCCAAGGCCAGUCUCAAACUCCUGGGCUCAAGCAAUUUGCCCGUCUUGGCCUCCCAAAGCACCGGCAUUACAGGCAUGAGAACCUGUCUGUGCACCCAGCCACAGACAUCUUUAGAACACUCUACCCAACAAAAGCAGAAUAUGUAUUCUUCUCAAGUGCACUUGGAACAUUCUCCAGGAUAGAUUAUAUGUUAGACCAUAAAACAGCCUCAAUAAAUGUAUAAGGAUUGAAAUUAUACGAAGUAUAUUCUCUAAUACAGUGAAGUGACAUGAAAAUUUAAUAAUAGAAAGAAAUUUGGAAAAUUCGCAAAUAGGUGAAAAUGAAAUAACACCCACCUAAAUAACCAAUUGGUCAAAGAAGAAAGUACAAAUAAAGUUAGAAAUACUGUGAAAUGCCGGGCAUGGUGGCUCAUGCCUCUAAUCCCAGCACUUUGGGAGGCUGAGGCAGGUGGAUGACCUGAGUUCAGGAGUUCAAGACAAGCCUGGCCAACAUAGCGAAACCCCAUCUCUACUAAAAAUACAAAAAUUAGCCGGGAGCAGUGGUGCGCACCUGAAAUCCCAGCUACUUGGGAGGUUGAGGCAGGAGAAUCACUUGAACCUGGGAGGUGGAGGUUGCAGUGAGCUGAGAUAGCACCACUACACUCCAGCCUGGGCAACAGAGCGAGACGCCGUCUCAAAAAAAAAAAAAAAAAUUAAAUACUGUGAAGUGAAUGAAACUGAAGGCUCACAUACCAAAACUUAUGGGAUAGAGCUAAACAUUGCCUAGAUGAAAAUUUAUAUCUGUAAGUGUCCACCUCAAAAGAAGAAAGAUCUCAAUAACCUUCCAACUUAAGACAUUGGAGAAAAAAGAAAAACUAAACCUAAGUCAAGCGUAAGUAAGGCAAGAAUAAAGAUUAUAAAGAUUAGAGUAGAAAUUAAUGAAAUGGGAAAUAGAAAAACAAUAGAGAAAAUCAACAAAAUCAAAAGUUGGUUCUUUGAAAAGUUCAACAAAAUUUUCAAACCUUUAGCUAGAUUGACCAAGGAAUUAAAAAAAUUCAGUUACUAAAAUCAGAAAUAAAAAGAGGAGACAUCUCUACAAAUGUUACAGAAGUAAAAAGGAUUAAUCGUAAGGAAAGACUAUGAACAAUUGUAUGUCAACGAAUUAGCCUAAAAGAAAUGGAAGAUUCCUAAAAGACACAAACUAUCAAAACUUCUUUUUUUUUUUCAGGUGGAGUCUUGCUAUGUUGCUCAGGCUGGUCUCUAACUCCUCAACUCAAGCAAUCCUCCCACCUCACUCUUCUGAGUAGCUGGGAUUACAGAUGUGAACCACCACUGUCUCAAAACUAUUAAACUGACCCAAAAGAAAUGGAAAUCUGAAUAGACUAUAACAUGAGAUUGAAUUAGCAACCAAAACACUACACACACACACACACACACACACACACACACAAACACACAUGCCCAGUCCCAGAUGACUUUACAGGUGAUAUCUAGCAAUCAUUUUUUAAAGAGUAAUGAAAACCAUUCCUGGAUGUGAGAGUGAUCUAGCUGCAACAUCUGUUACCCCAUUAAUCGCCAGGGUUGAUUCGGCUGAUCUAGCUGGCUAAGCGGGUAUCCCCUUCCUCCCUCACUGCUCCAUGUGCAUCCCUCCCAAAUACUGCACGCUCGAUGGAAGAGGACGACCAUCCCCAAUAGAGGAGGACUGAUCUUCCGUCAAGGGUAUAGGAGUAGCUGCGCUUCCCUGCUGGAACCCCCAAACAAGCUCUUAAAGAGGAAUGAAGACCAAUCUUCAAAAACUCUUCCAAAAAAAUACAAGAAGAGGGAACACUUCACAACUUAUUCUUUGAGGCCAGUAUUUCCCUAACACAAAGAAACACACAAAGACUUCACAGAACCAUCCGCCAAUAUCUCCUAUAAAUAGAAAUGCAAAAAUCCUCAACAAAAUACUUGUAAACUGAAUCUGGCAAUGUAUAAAAUGUAUUCUACAUCAAGACCAAGUAGGAUGCAAGGUUUGUUUAACAUCUCAAGACUAAUCAAUGUAAUAUACCACAUCAACGGAAGAACAAAAAACACACGGUCAUUUCAAUAGAUGUAAAAUAUUUAAGAACAUUCAGCACUUUUUCCUAAUAAAAACACCUAGGAAACCAGAAAUCCAUGGGAACUAGUUGAUCCGAUAAAGAAUAUUUAUGAAAAAUCAAUAGCUUGCAUCGUACUUAAUGGUUAAAAAGUAAAAGCACUUCCUCCUAAGAUUCAGAAAAAGAAAAAGUGUCCACUCUAUUUCUGCUCAGCAUUUUGGUGGAGGCUGUAGCCAAGACCAUUAGGCAAGAAAAUAAAAUAAAAGACGUUCAAAUUGGAAAGAAAGAAGUAAAACUGUCUCCAUUUGCAGAUGACAUGAUCUUGUAUAUAUAUAGGAAAUUAAAAGGAAUUCACUAAAUAUUAUUGAAAUUACUAAACGACAUUGUAGGCUAUAAGAUCAUAUACAAAACUCAAUUGUAUAUGCUUGCAAUGAACAAUCUGAAUAUAUAUUUCAAAUUCCAUGUAUUUAUUUAUGAGACAGAGUCUCACUCUAUUACUAAGGCUGGAGUGCAGUGGCGCGGUCUCAGCUCACUGCAACCUCUGCCUUCCAGGUUCAAGCGAUUCUCAUGCCUCAGCCUCACGAGUAGCAGGGAUUACAGGCGCCCACCACAGUGCCUGGCUAAUUUUUGUAUUUUUAGUAGAGACGGGGUUUCACCUUGUCAGCCAGGCUGGUCGCUAACUCCUGACCUCACGUGUUCCACCCACCUCAGCCUCCCAAAGUGCUGAGAUUACUGGCGUCAGCCACUGCACCUGGCCAAAAUCUAUUUAUAAUAUCACUAAAAAUGUAUUAAUUUAACAAAAUAAGUGUGAAACACAUUCUGAAAACUACAAAAUAUUGUUGAAGAGUGUUGAAAGGUUAAUAUUGUUAAUAAUAUCUUCUGAAUCGAUCUAUAGAUUCAAUAGACUCUCUAUCAGAAUUCUAGCUGAAUUCUUUGCAGAAAUUGACAAGCUGAUCCAAAAAUUCACAUGGAAAUGCCAGGGGCCCAGAAUAUAUACUUUUUCCAAUAUAAAGAAGAACAAAGUUGAAGGACUCUGAUUUCAAAGCAUACUACAAAAAUAUAAUAAGGCAAUGUGGUAGUAUUAUAAGUAUAGAUAUAUAGUUCAAUGGUAGCAAAUCAAGAGUCCAGAAAUAAACCCUCAUAUUUACAGGCAAUUGAAUUUCAACAAGGGUGGUGAGUAUAGUCUUUUCAACAAAUGAGCUGGGAUAAUUGGAUAGCCACAUGCAAAGUAAUGAAGUUUGACCUCUACCGCUCACCAUAUACAAAACUUAAAUUGGAUCAAAGACUUUAAUGUAUGAGCUGUAACUAUAAAACCCAUAGAAGAGUAAUGUAAGAUUAAAUCUUCAUGACCUUGGAUUUGACAAUAAUAUCACAACAAAAUCACAAGAAGCCAAAAAAAAAAAAAAGGUGAACUGGAUUUGAUCAAAAUUUAAAACUUUUAUGCUUCAAAAGACAUUUCAAGGAAAUGAAAAAGCAACCUACAGAAUGGGAGAAAAUUUUUGCAAACGGGAUAUAUCGAAAAUAUGUAAAGAACUCUUACAACUACAUAAUAAGAAGACAUAACCUAGUUAUAAAGUGGGCAAAGGAUAUGAACAGGCAUUUUGACAAAGGAAAUAUGCAAAUGGCCAAUAAGCACAUGAAAAGAUGCUCAACAUCAUUAACCAUCAGGAAACACAAACCACAGUCAUAAUGAGAUAGCCCUUCACACCCACUAGGAUGACUAAAAUUAAAAAGACAGACAAUAAUGAGUGUGGACAAGGAUGUGGAGAAAUUGGAACCCUCAUACACUACU
rnacentral:lncRNA from 1 species